GUACACCUCCGUAGUAUCUUCCCGUCGCCCCGUCCUGCCUAACCUGGGGCACAGUGCUCCCGCCUACGUUAACCAUAAGGGGCUGAAAGCCGUCACGUGAAAGACAGCACUGCACGUGGAAAUUAACCUACAGUCCGACACGAAAACGGCAUUGACAGCAAACCAGCUGACACGCUGGGGCCAGAUAACUACCGGCAGAUGGCAGUACUCCCCAAGUAAAUACGAGGACUGCUCCGGAAAUCUUUUAUAUUAUUUUAUUUUGUAUAUAUAUAUUUUUAUUUUCUAUUUAGACAAUACACUUUUACUUUUC